rnacentral:tRNA from 1 species
GGCAGUAUAGUGGAAUGGUUAACACGCGGCUCUCAUAAGGCUGAGAUUCCGAGUUCGAUUCUCGGUACUGCCA